rnacentral:rRNA from 1 species
UACGGAGGGUGCAAGCGUUAAUCGGAAUUACUGGGCGUAAAGCGUGCGUAGGCGGUUCGUUAAGUCUGUUGUGAAAUCCCCGGGCUCAACCUGGGAACUGCAUUUGUGACUGUAGAGCUGGAGUGCGGCAGAGGGGGAUGGAAUUCCGCGUGUAGCAGUGAAAUGCGUAGAUAUCUGGAGGAACAUCAGUGGCGAAGGCGACACCCUGGACUCAUACUGACACUGAGGUGCGAAAGCGUGGGGAGCAAACAGG